rnacentral:tRNA from 1 species
AGUAAGAUGGCCGAAAUUAAGCGAUUGUUUGUAGCACAAUUAAUGAGGAACCCCUCUCUUGCAA